AAUAGAUACCCGGGUAGUCCACGCCGUAAACGAUGAGUGCUAAGUGUUAGGGGGUUUCCGCCCUUUAGUGCUGAAGUUAACGCAUUAAGCACUCCGCCUGGGGAGUACGGCCGCAAGGCUGAAACUCAAAGGAAUUGACGGGGGCCCGCACAAGCGGUGGAGCAUGUGGUUUAAUUCGAAGCAACGCGAAGAACCUUACCAGGUCUUGACAUCCUCUGACAACCCUAGAGAUAGGGCUUCUCCUUCGGGAGCAGAGUGACAGGUGGUGCAUGGUUGUCGUCAGCUCGUGUCGUGAGAUGUUGGGUUAAGUCCCGCAACGAGCGCAACCCUUGAUCUUAGUUGCCAUCAUUUAGUUGGGCACUCUAAGGUGACUGCCGGUGACAAACCGGAGGAAGGUGGGGAUGACGUCAAAUCAUCAUGCCCCUUAUGACCUGGGCUACACACGUGCUACAAUGGACGGUACAAAGAGCUGCAAGACCGCGAGGUGGAGCUAAUCUCAUAAAACCGUUCUCAGUUCGGAUUGUAGG
rnacentral:rRNA from 1 species